rnacentral:rRNA from 1 species
GAUGAACGCUGGCGGCGUGCCUAACACAUGCAAGUCGAGCGAACCCUUCGGGGUGAGCGGCGGACGGGUGAGUAACGCGUGGGUAACCUGCCCUAUACACACGGAUAACGUACCGAAAGGUACGCUAAUACGGGAUAAUAUUGUUGGAUGGCAUCUUCUAACAAUCAAAGCUCCGGCGGUAUAGGAUGGACCCGCGUCUGAUUAGCUAGUUGGUGAGGUAAUGGCUCACCAAGGCGACGAUCAGUAGCCGACCUGAGAGGGUGAUCGGCACACAUUGGAACUGAGACACGGUCCAGACUCCUACGGGAGGCAGCAGUGGGGAAUAUUGCACAAUGGGCGAAAGCCUGAUGCAGCAACGCCGCGUGAGCGAUGAAGGUCUUCGGAUCGUAAAGCUCUGUCCUCAAGGAAGAUAAUGACGGUACUUGAGGAGGAAGCCCCGGCUAACUACGUGCCAGCCGCCGCGGUAAUAC